CCUACGGGAGGCAGCAGUAGGGAAUAUUGGACAAUGGACGCAAGUCUGAUCCAGCCAUCCCGCGUGAAGGAUUAAGGCCCUAUGGGUUGUAAACUUCUUUUCUUUGGGAAUAAAAAGCGGUAUUCAUAUCGCCUUGAAGGUACCAGAGGAAUAAGCACCGGCUAACUCCGUGCCAGCAGCCGCGGUAAUACGGAGGGUGCAAGCGUUAUCCGGAUUCACUGGGUUUAAAGGGUGCGUAGGUGGCUUUGUAAGUCAGCGGUGAAGGCCUGGAGCUCAACUCCAGAAUUGCCAUUGAUACUGCAGAGCUUGAAUCAAGUUGAGGUGGAUGGAAUAUUACAUGUAGCGGUGAAAUGCUUAGAUAUGUAAUAGAACACCGAUUGCGAAGGCAGUUCACUAAGCUUGUAUUGACACUGAGGCACGAAAGCGUGGGGAUCAAACAGGAUUAGAUACCCUGGUAGUCCACGCCCUAAACGAUGCAAACUCGACAUUAGCGAUAUACAGUUAGUGUCCAAGCGAAAGCGUAAGUUUGCCNCNGGAGACGACGCGAGUAGAANACAANAGAUAGAGNGNGAGAGNGCGAGCGACGACGAGGGAGAGG
rnacentral:rRNA from 1 species